rnacentral:rRNA from 1 species
AAUUCGAUUGAGUUUGAUCAUGGCUCAGGACGAACGCUGGCGGCGUGCUUAACACAUGCAAGUCGAGCGGUAAGGCUCCUUCGGGAGUACACGAGCGGCGAACGGGUGAGUAACACGUGAGCAAUCUGCCCUUCACUUCGGGAUAACUUCGGGAAACCGAAGCUAAUACCGAAUACGACCACCGAUGGCAUCUUCUGGUGGUGGAAAGUUCCGGCGGUGAAGGAUGAGCUCGCGGCCUAUCAGCUUGUUGGUGGGGUAAUGGCCUACCAAGGCGACGACGGGUAGCCGGCCUGAGAGGGUGACCGGCCACACUGGGACUGAGACACGGCCCAGACUCCUACGGGAGGCAGCAGUGGGGAAUAUUGGACAAUGGGCGAAAGCCUGAUCCAGCAACGCCGCGUGAGGGAUGACGGCCUUCGGGUUGUAAACCUCUUUCAGCAGGGACGAAGCGAGAGUGACGGUACCUGCAGAAGAAGCACCGGCCAACUACGUGCCAGCAGCCGCGGUAAUACGUAGGGUGCAAGCGUUGUCCGGAAUUAUUGGGCGUAAAGGGCUCGUAGGCGGUCCAUCACGUCGGGAGUGAAAAGCUGGGGCUUAACCCCAGUCCUGCUUCCGAUACGGGUGGACUAGAGGUAGGUAGGGGAGAACGGAAUUCCUGGUGUAGCGGUGAAAUGCGCAGAUAUCAGGAGGAACACCGGUGGCGAAGGCGGUUCUCUGGGCCUUACCUGACGCUGAGGAGCGAAAGCGUGGGGAGCAAACAGGA